ACGUAGGGGGCGAGCGUUGUCCGAAUUUACUGGGCGUAAAGCGCGCGUAGGCGGGUUAUUAAGUUGGUGGUGAAAUUCCGAGGCUCAACUUCGGAACUGCCGCCAAAACUGGUAGCCUUGAGGUAUGGAGAGGAAAGUGGAAUUCCUGGUGUAGCGGUGAAAUGCGUAGAUAUCAGGAGGAACACCCAUGGCGAAGGCAGCUUUCUGGCCAUAUCCUGACGCUGAGGUGCGAAAGCCAGGGGAGCGAACGG
rnacentral:rRNA from 1 species